ensembl:lncRNA
AUCUCACUGGAGAUCCCUGCAUACUGGAGUCCUUCUAAAGUUUCUGAGGUCUGGAGCUGUGUGUGGGGGUGUUUCCCUGAGGAAGUUGCCAGCAAAGUGAGUACUGCUGAGCUGAGUGCAGCACUUCUCGCUGGAGCACAUCUGUCGAGUUUGUAACGCUGAGAAGAGCUGUGUAUUCCCUACCAUCCCAACCGUGCAUGCCAGGCAGAUGAGCACAUCUUUUAAUGAAUUAUCUCCAAGGUUGGCGGUGUGGGGACACCUCAGUGCUCCUCAGCAGCACUGCACUCUUGUCCUGGCAGCGCUGGCAUCCUGCUCAUCAUGGGAGCUGUUGUCGUGCUGCUGAGAGGAACAGCAGGGUCUUGCUACAGGAGUAUCUUAAGACUGGCUUGUAUCAAAAAAUAUGAGAGCUCUUGUAUGUAUAGCAUGAAAUUUUGCCUGUGUAAGAGAUGAGAAACAGUGUACUCAGUGUGAGUGAGAGCAGGGCCUAUUAACGUGUAAUGGAACACGGCCCUUGAAGAUGCUUGUUUGGAAACAGCUUUCACAGUGAUGUAGUAAUUACUGCUCCAACAGUAAAUAAAUAAAUAAUAGAUAUUUAACAGCAGCAGCAGAGGGGAUCAGACUGAAAUGACAUUAACCUUAAUAGUGAAUGGGUGUGGUAGGUGGGAAAGUCCUAUUUACCUUAAAUCUGAAGUAUACAUAUUAUAAUUCUUUUCUGGAACAGGCAGCAUAUUCACUAUUUAAUUCGUGUAGUAGCUAUCUUUUUUCUUUAGUGACAAUGAGUUGCUGCAUCUGUAUUAGAAAUGAUGAUUAGCCACAAGAACUGCUGUGGAGAAAUGGCUUCAUCCUCAUACAGAAUGGGAAACGAGCUUAUGUCUCUGUUCUUGAGAGGCUCUGUGCCCUGAUGAGUAGGACCAGAGGCUUAACUGUACUGUGGGGCUUGGUGGGACUGAAUGCCCUUGUUUCAAGGCUCCUUUAUUAAUCAAUAAUCUAUACCUGCUUUGUGUCAUGUGGUAGCCUACGUCUAAUGAUAUUGCUUACAUCAUAUGUCUCUGUAGAUCUCAUCUACAAAACUAUGGGCUGAGGUGGGGAAUUAAUGGUGUUAAAAAUUACUGAUGGCUUUUAAUGCAGACAUACUCCUUGUGAAUUUGCUACUGGAACAGAACAUUGUCCACACUCUUGUGUUAUGUGCUGAGGUUUAAAAAAAAAAAAGUCUUGACAGAGCUUCUGGGUGGAAUUUGGGCAUCUUCAGUGUAAACUCCUCUGUAAUGACAUUAAUAUAUGCUUUAAUUAUUGCCUCAAAUAAGGAACAGGUUCAGUUACAAUACUGAACUGUGGUUUUUUUUAUUUUUUUAAACUGGAGCUCUGUAAACUCACACAAACUUCAUUUUUAAUAGAGGAGAAGAAGUUCUGUAGGAAAAGCUGCGACUCUAAAUCUGAAUGAGACUCUAUCUCUGUAGCAUGUGGUGGAAGAACGGUGUGUUCCUGGUUCUGGUGCAUGUGAAAGCAUGGGUGUUACUCUACAGUCAGAGAGGUGCUUUGCUUUUUCCUAGCUGAUCAAGCCACUGGUGAGACACAGCAAUCAAUGUAGGGUUGGGAUUUUGUUGCUCUUCGGGUUUAGCUUUCUCCUUUUAUUUUUCCAUUUGCCUGAACUUGGUUUCACAAGACGUAGAUGGGUCUUUGUUACUGUUUGGAGUAUUAUUUUAUUGAUCCAGCGUUUACAGAUGUGAAGUUCACUGACUUUUUACUAAUCAGCAUUCAGUGUACGUCUUCAAUUUUUUCCACAGAUAAUAGAAUGUUUCUAAC